ACCGAGGCUAGAGCCAUGCUUGUAUAUUGGUUAUUGUCUAAGUGUGCUGGAGUCCUCAAGGAGUAACUGCUGACCUUACCCGCUGGCUGUGGCCCUCAUGGGUGGCACAGUCAGUCACCAAGCAAGUGACAUGG